rnacentral:rRNA from 1 species
GAUGAACGCUAGCUACAGGCUUAACACAUGCCAGUCGAGGGGAAACGCCAUCGAAAGCUUGCUUUUGAUGGGCGUCGACCGGCGCACGGGUGAGUAACGCGUAUCCAACCUGCCCAUCACUUGGGAAUAACCUUGCGAAAGUAAGACUAAUACCCAAUGACAUCCCACGAAGACAUCUGAAUGGGAUUAAAGAUUUAUCGGUGAUGGAUGGGGAUGCGUCUGAUUAGCUUGUUGGCGGGGUAACGGCCCACCAAGGCAACGAUCAGUAGGGGUUCUGAGAGGAAGGUCCCCCACAUUGGAACUGAGACACGGUCCAAACUCCUACGGGAGGCAGCAGUGAGGAAUAUUGGUCAAUGGGCGAGAGCCUGAACCAGCCAAGUAGCGUGCAGGAUGACGGCCCUAUGGGUUGUAAACUGCUUUUAGAAGGGAAUAAAGUGGGUCUCGUGAGACUUUUUGCAUGUACCUUAUGAAUAAGGACCGGCUAAUUCCGUG